GAUGAACGCUGGCGGCGUGCCUAAUACAUGCAAGUCGAGCGAAUGGAUUAAGAGCUUGCUCUUAUGAAGUUAGCGGCGGACGGGUGAGUAACACGUGGGUAACCUGCCCAUAAGACUGGGAUAACUCCGGGAAACCGGGGCUAAUACCGGAUAACAUUUUGAACCGCAUGGUUCGAAAUUGAAAGGCGGCUUCGGCUGUCACUUAUGGAUGGACCCGCGUCGCAUUAGCUAGGUGGUGAGGUAACGGCUCACCAAUGCAACGAUGCGUAGCCGACCUGAGGGGGUGAUCGGCCACACUGGGACUGAGACGCGGCCCAGACUCCUACGGGGGGCAGCAGUAGGGAAUCUUCCGCAAUGGACGAAAGUCUGACGGAGCAACGCCGCGUGAGUGAUGAAGGCUUUCGGGUCGUAAAACUCUGUUGUUAGGGAAGAACAAGUGCUAGUUGAAUAAGCUGGCACCUUGACGGUACCUAACCAGAAAGCCACGGCUAACUACGUGCCAGCCGCCGCCGUAA
rnacentral:rRNA from 1 species